GGUGACCAUAUAACAUACCUUCCAAAUUGAGGCACUUUCGGGAGUGAAAGGGGGCCUUAUGAAGAAUUAGGGCAAGUGUGGGCACCUGGGUGGCUCAGUGG